UCAGCUUGAGAUCGGGAGAAGCUAGAGGUACUCCUGGGGUAGAGGUGAAAUUCUGUAAUCCUGGGGGGACCACCAGUGGCGAAGGCGUCUAGCUAGAACGAGUCUGACGGUGAGGGACGAAACCCUGGGGCGCAAACCGGAUUAGAUACCCGGGUAGUCCAGGGCGCAAACGCUGCUUGCUUGAUGUUAGCUGGGCUCCGAGCUCAGCUAGUGUCGGAGAGAAGUUGUUAAGCAAGCUGCCUGGGAAGUACGAUCGCAAGAUUGAAACUUAAAGGAAUUGGCGGGGGAGCACAGCAACGGGAGGAGCGUGCGGUUUAAUUGGAUUCAACGCCGGAAAACUCACCGGAGGCGACGGUUACAUGAAGGCCAGGCUGAUGACCUUGCCUGAUUUUCCGAGAGGUGGUGCAUGGCCGCCGUCAGUUCGUACCGUAAGGCGUUCUGUUAAGUCAGAUAACGAACGAGACCCUCAUUCUUAAUUGCAACUAAUAACUCCGGUUAUUGGGCACAUUAAGAAGACCGCUGGCGAUAAGUCAGAGGAAGGCGAGGGCAACGGUAGGUCAGUAUGCCCUGAAUCCUCCGGGCUACACGCGCGCUACAAAGGCCAGGACAAUGGGUUUCGACACUGAAAGGUGAAGGUAAUCUCGAAACCUGGUCAUAGUUCGGAUUGAGGGCUGAAACUCGCCCUCAUGAAGCUGGAUUCCGUAGUAAUCGCGGAUCGACAUCCCGCGGUGAAUAUGCCCCUGCUCCUUGCACACACCGCCCGUCAAACCAUGCGAGUUGGGUCUAAGUGAGGAUGUAGUAUUUUGCUGCGUUCAAACUUGGGCUUAGCAAGCGGGGUUAAGUCGUAACAAG
rnacentral:rRNA from 1 species